AUUGAACGCUGGCGGCAUGCCUUACACAUGCAAGUCGAACGGCAGCACGGGAGCAAUCCUGGUGGCGAGUGGCGAACGGGUGAGUAAUACAUCGGAACGUGCCCAAUCGUGGGGGAUAACGUAGCGAAAGUUACGCUAAUACCGCAUACGAUCUACGGAUGAAAGCGGGGGACCGCAAGGCCUCGCGCGAUUGGAGCGGCCGAUGGCAGAUUAGGUAGUUGGGGGGGUAAAUGCCUACCAAGCCUCCGAUCUGUAGCUGGUCUGAGAGGACGAUCAGCCACACUGGGACUGAGACACGGCCCAGACUCCUACGGGAGGCAGCAGUGGGGAAUUUUGGACAAUGGGCGAAAGCCUGAUCCAGCAAUGCCGCGUGCAGGACGAAGGCCUUCGGGUUGUAAACUGCUUUUGUACGGAGCGAAACGCCUUUCACUAAUACUGGGGGCUAAUGACGGUACCGUAAGAAUAAGCACCGGCUAACUACGUGCCAGCCGCCGCCGUAA
rnacentral:rRNA from 1 species